GAUAAUUUAAAGAUUCUUUGAAACGUUUAUAUACGCAUCUAAGAAAAGUUAUAGAAAACCCGGUUGGCGAAACUGAGUAUUAAAGUUGACACUCCGUAGUUACGUGCCAGACAAUCGGUAUCAAGCGUAAUAUUACGCCAUCUAGUCCUGUGAAAAUCCGUUGCCCACUUCAUUCAUUGUGUUUCUUUGCCAGCACAUAAUUUCGUCCAGCUGACUCUUUUAUCUGUGUAGGACCGUUUAUAUCUUAUCUUCGACGUCUUGCUGAAUAUUACUAAAGAGAUCUUCAAAGAACGAGUGCGGAGUUUAGAAAGUAGAGCAUGUAAAUGGGGUGUACUGUUCCGUGUCAAGUGUAGUGUCGUUGAUAAAGAAUAGUUUGUGUUUGCUUGUAUUACGACUACUAUCAGUAUAUUACGCCCCUGGAUAGCGUAUCGCAUUUUCGUGCCCCUCGAAACAGCAACUUCUGGGUUGAGGACGCCGCUCUGAACCUAAUAGAACUUAACAGGAAGCCCAAUACGAAUCGAUAGCCCUCUGCGACGACCCUAUGGCUUGGCAGUACUGACUACUGAUCCAUUUUGCUCCAGGCUUACUUCAUUGACAUCUAAGCGGCUUUCAACAUGUUCCUACUUUGCACCUUUGGUCUUUCCUUGGUCUUCUAUCUUUCUACAGCACAACUGCAGCCUGGAGUUCCUUCGCUUCCUCAUGGCGUCAGCCGACACCGUCAACUACAACUAUCAUACUUGCAGCGACGUCCUGAUCAAGAAGGUGUGAAGCAGCCAGAGGCCAAAUUCAUCAGACCUUUCGCUUUCCGAAGGCCAAUCGUUAUACGACGGCCAAUUAGGCCACAAAUUUUAGUCCCACCAUACUCCGCCGCUGC